GCCAUUGAUGAGAGGCUUCAAGCCAUGACAUUUGUUUAAUCUGCCCUGACACAUCCAGCACGAAUCUGCAUAUUUUUGAAGAAUUAUAAAUUGAGUAAUUGAUAUAGGUCUGCUCCUUACUAAACGAAUAACUGAAAUUAAACACAUCGUUUGAGCGCAUCUCACGAAUCAAGCUGAAAGCCUGCCCAUCCCUGUCCCAGGUGCCACUAGCCCAGUACAUUGUGGACCCUUGCAAGAUAAAAAUCUGGCCGCUUCCCUUAGGGUCGUACUUCAUGGAGAAAACUCCUGGACUGGGAUCUUCUGUGCUCUUCCAUGACACUAAUGACCAUGUUUUUCCAGCCCUUUUGUCGUAUCCAAGUUUCAUCCCCGGCAAGAAAGUGUGCGAUGGAUAGUCAAAGCUCUGCCAUAAGAUCCUCGAGUUGUUAUUUCUCAAAACAAGAUUUCCAGAAUCCAACAGGGUGGCACUAGUUUUGCUGUUUGAUGAUAUGCUUGUCAAUCUGUAUGAAAUUUUCCCCUCCCAAACCUCGAGGUUACCAUCUGUCCUGACAGUAAGAACCACAGACGGAUCUGUGAAUGAAUAAUCUCGGUUAGCUACCCACACAAUGGUUGGCUCUGAUACUUUCUUGUACCAUAUCCCCACAUAGUAUUUUGUGGAGUUUCCAGGAGAAAAGAAUCCUAAUUCAAAUUCACCACCCGCAGAUAUGAUGGUCUGAGAGGUUGUGAUUGAUUGACCUUGUGAGAUUGUAUCUGUAAAUGCAUCAGCAAAUUCCAAGUGAAAACCUGAAGAAAUAAGCAAGAAAACAAGAAUAACAGACCACCAACUGGUUGAAAAUUUCCUGCUAGCCAUAACUCAUAAGCAGCGUUUAAGCAGCCCGCCAAUAAACUUAUAGCCAUCCAAAACAGGCAGUAGCAUAUCUGAGGUCCGGCGACUCGGUCAAAGUGUCCUUUCCACUGAUCUCCUUUCCAAUAUAUCUUUCAGGAAAAUUAUAGGGUACUGUGAGGUAGGUACAGAAGAAUAUCUUGGGCCAUUGGAUGUGAUCUUCAACAUUCAUCUUCAAUUUUGGUAAACAUAUAUAUAUAUAUAUAUAGAUACAUAUAGCAAGGUAGUUCUCUUUCUUUAGAUUCAUCAUCCUAGCUGACAUAGAAGAUAUCAUAAACUCUUUGGCAGGAAAGAGCUCUUUUGGAUGUUACUGGUUUUCAACACCCUCUCAUUAUGUCAUCAAGGAUGAAAAUAUCGGUAAUCACGGAUAUAUCGGUAACUUGAUUUUACGGAUAUAUCGGAUAAAUAUCGACGGAUAUUUUGGAAAAAAAUUUUUGUAGACAAAAAAUUGAUCAAAACUUAUGAAAAUGUAAGAAAAACCUCAUAACAAUGUAAUUAGAAGUAUAAUAAACAAUUUAAAUUUGUUUUGUUGAAGAAUUUGAUAUAUAUAUAUAUAUAUAUAUAUAUUAUAUGAUUUGCGAUAUUAGAUGUAAUUAUAUUAUGUAGGUUGAUAAAAAAAUAUGAAUUUUGUAAUUGUACACUCAUUAUCAAGUUCAUGAAAGACUUGAUUUCAUUAAAUAUCAAUAAUUUGUACAAAUUAUCACAUAGCCAUUGGGGUUGAAUUUUGAUCGUUGGAUCACAUCCAGCUUCAAUUUGGACUAUCAGAUGCAUAUGAGUCAUGAUUUGUUUCCAUUUUCUUUUUUAUCUUUACUAAAUCAAAAAUGUUUUUAUUCAAAAAUGUUUUAUUAUAUUUUAAAUAAAAAAUUAAAUUAAUUUAUAUAAAAUAUUUUAUUUGAUAUUUAAUUUCUAAAAUUUUAUUAAAAUGUGGUAACAACUUUUUAUAUCAAUAUUAAUUUAUUUAAAUAAUUAUUUAAAAACAUUAAAAAAAAUAGAUAUAAAUAAAAAAAGAAAUUGAUAUAAAAUUUGUAAAAUAUAUUUAUCCAUAAAAAUAAAAAUUUCUUCACAUGCUGCAAUUGCAUUAUUUUAUUUUUAAAAUAUAAAAUAGUUUUCUUAUUUAAAAAGCUAUAAGUGCAAAUCAUUUUGUACAAAAUUUUAAAAAUUUAAAUUCCAGAUAAAAAUCAGUAUGAUAAUGUUUUAACAUGUUUUGAAUUGUUUACAAUGUGUUAGGAUUCACUUACUAAGUCACAACCAUAUGUUUUGUUCAUGUUCUUAUCCAGAAGAAUGUUGAUAGUCUUCAAAUCUCGAUGAAUAAUUCUCAAUCUAGAGUACUAAUGGAGAUAAAGAAGUCCCUGAGCCACCCCUUGAAUGAUGUGAACCCAUGCCUCCCAAUUCAAUACUGGAUCCAUCAAGUCCAGCCUUAUGUUGUUUUUCCACAUAUCCCAUGCCUAAAGGAAAGAAAAUGUUCUUUUGAUGCAAAUUUCCAAAGAAGAAAAACAUAUGUAUAGUCCUUUUUAUUGCAUGCAAAGAACUUCAACUUAAAAUUGACUAGUAAAUCAAGAAUUAGCAUAUUAGAACAUUGUAGAUUGUGUUACUCACAUAUCUAAGAAGAUUGAGUGAGUCACUUUAGUAAAAUGUAGUAUUCUUUUUGCCUCUUAGAAUCUCCCGUAACAAGACCUUGAAGCUAAAGACAUCUGAUUUAGUUGAAAAUAGACCUUCCAAAGCAUAUUCAAGGGACAUGUAGCUAGCCACUAAAUUUCAUUAUUAGAACAAAUCAUUUAGUGGUUGCUUUGUGACAAAAAUGCAUAUAUAUAUAUAAAAGAAAGGCCAUGUUGUGUGAGAAUUCACAUAUUUUACACUUUGCAAGGAUUCACUUACCAAGUCUCGAUUAUAUUAUUUGUUGCUAUCAACUAAUUUUCUCCAAAAAUUCCUGCCAUUCCAAAAUCUGAUAUUUUGGGUUCAUGUCCAUAUCCAAAAGAAUGUUGCUAGCCUUCAAAUCUCAAUGAAUAACCCUCAAUCUGGAGUACUGAUGGAGAUAAAGAAAUCCCUGAGCAACCCCUUCAAUUAUGUGAAUGUGUGUUUCCCAGUCCAAAAUCCCAUGUCUUGCAGGAUCCAUCCCAAUUUUACACCAAAUAAAUACAAACUAGUGUCAGUAAAUAAGAGGCCAACAACAAUGAAUGAAAAAAGCUUUUUAUUAAGCAUAGGAUAAACAAAAGUUUAGAUAUGUUGAGAAGUACAAACCAAAAGGAAGAAAUCUAAGCUUUUAUUAGCCAUAUACUCAUAAACCAGUAUCUUCUCAUCUAAUUCAAUGCAGCAGCCCAAAAGUCUAACAAGAUUCUUAUGUUAGAGCUUAGCUAUAAGCAUGGCUUCAUUUUUUAACUCCUCCCAUCCCCGUUCUUAUCGUUUUGAAAGUCUUUUCACAACUACCCUCAUAUUGUCUUUGUUACUUUCCCUGUCAUUAUGGUUGAAAGUUGCGGUAUCGAUCAUUGACUUGAGAGAUCUUAACACACAUCGAUCUUGGGGUUAAAGUUUCCAUAACUUCUUCUAGAGUUAUAUUCCACCUUCAAAGAGAAAGAAUCAUAGCUUCCACUCUCUCUUCCAUCCAUUCCCACUAAAAGUGCAUUAAGAUCAAGGUUCAAGUCAUCGGACAAAAAAUCGUAGAUUUACAAGACUUCCAACAACUUCGAAGUCAUCUUCAAAUCCCCAAUUCUCAUGCACCGACAACCAACCUUUCUUCAAAUCCCUAACUCACCCAUACCAGAGAGAGAGAGAAAGAGAGAGAGAGGAAGGCAGACAAAAGCAGGCGAGAAUUGAGACCAAAUGCAGUGAUGGCCGCUCAUGUCAAUGAAGGGGAUCUUCUUAUCACACCAAUCACCACAACAAGACCAUUGAAGAUGCUCCACAUCCAUGAUCGUUCUGAAGUUACUGAUACCGUAACCUCUUCUUCUUAUGCACCUCCAAGACUCAAUCAUGGGUUAGAUUGAUGUCUUUCUUCCUCUUCAUCAUGGUUAUUGAGAAACUUUUCCUUUUGAUGACAAUCUUUGAUUUUUUAGAGGUUUUUUUGGUUUAAAUCUUGUUUGUUAUUCCUCUGUUGUGAUUUGAAAGUGAAAAAAUGAUUUCUUUUGUUAACUUGAACAGUUCAACCGAGUCAACUCGGAAGCUCCAUUGAGAUAACCGAGUUUAAGCGAUUCCUGAUUGAGUAUGAGUCUAUACGACUCAGCUAAGUCGUACUGGACUCGGCUUGUUCUUGAAUCAAUAGAAUUAAAGGAAUGCUUGGUGAAGGGAUAUGGUGUCUCUAUUUAUUUAAUUUAAUUGAUUGCUUAUUUUUGGAUUGCAAAAUAAUCGUGUUAUUAUUUAUAUGAAAUAUUGAAUGAGUUUUGGGAUAUUUAAGGGCAAGAGUACUAAGUAGAUUAAUUAUUUUUAAUUAAAUUCAAAACAAUCUUAAUUUGAAAGUUAUUUGAAUGGGAAAUAUAUUUAGGAACUGGUAAAAAGAAAAUUCUUUAAAUUUGAUCCUUCUCAAAUAAUUGAAAAAUAUCUUUUUUCUCAGAAAAUACUCAUAAGUAGAAACUUUAUCUCAAAAUUAGAAAUUGAAGAACUUAGGGGCGCAUAUUUUAAUUAAACAUGUCAAUUUCAAUUAAAAUAAAAAUAAAUAAAUAAAAUAUAGAAAAGGCGAUAAGUGGAUAGUGAUAGAUCUGUGCUGACAGUAACAACCACGGAUGGAUUUGUGAAUGAAUAGUCUCGGUUAGCUACCCACACAAUGGUUUGCUCUGAGAUUUUCUUGUACCAUAUCCCCACAUAAUAUUUUGUGGACUUUCCAGGAGAAAAGAAUCCUAAUUCAAAGUUACCAGCAGUAGAUAUAAUGGUCUGAGAGGUUGUGAGCGAUUGACCUUGUAAGAUUGUAUCUGUAAAGGCCUCAACAAAUUGCCAGUGAAAACCUGAAGAAAUAAGCAAGAAAACGAGAUUAGCAGUGUAACGCCCAAGUAUUUUUUUUAAGGGUAAUUUAGGAAAUUACUAAUAAUAAUUAAAUUAGUUAAUUAAUUAAUUUAAUAAAGUGGAAGAGGGGUAAAUUUUACGAAUAAAUACCCUAGGUAUAAAUUAGAAAUUCUAUUUCUUCCUGUUCUUUUAUGAAUAGAGUUCAUGUUCGCAAAAUUUCAGAGAACGUAGGUUGGAGUCAAAUUUCAGGGUUGAAGAACAAAUCUCUAUAAGUAAGAUUCUAACCUCUAGUUUAAUAUUUUAGAUUCAUUGAUUAAUUUCAAACACAUUAGAUAUCUUUUGGAAAACCCAAAUCUAGACUAGGGUUAGUUUAUUUUAUUUUUUUUAAUUCGUUUUAAUAUCAAUAGUAAAAAAAUAAAAAUUUAAGAUUUUAAUUUAUUGUUGGUAUUUGGGAGAUCUUAAGUUUUAUUAGAUGAAAAAAAAAAAAAAGGUUCCUUGGAAGGUUUCGAUUUUAUAUUAGGGUUAAUUCUAUUUUUUUAAAAAAGUAAAUAAAUAUAUUGUUAUUUGUGGUGGAAGGGAUUAGAAAAAGUUAAUAAAAAGAAAAAAUAAAUAAAUAAAUAAGAAAAGAAGAGAACGUGUGUGCACAGUACUGGAACAAAGAAUAAAAAAAAAAAAAAAAAACAAGAGACGCGUGUGCACACUAGAAGAAAGGGAAAAAAAAAAAAACAGGUGGGACGUGACAGUGCUAUGGAGGCUUUUAUAUAUAUAUAUAUAAUGAAUCAUCAUUAGGCAAAAAAAAAAAAAAAACUUGCUUUUUAGUGUGUACCCGAGAUGAGUAAUGGUUGGGUGGCUAUUGAAUUGGAUAAUUAAAAAAAUAAUGAUAUUUAGUUUUAGAUUAAUAAAUAAGAUAAUAGUAAUAAUGGUCUUUUUGUAAUAAAUAGAAUGAGAGAUUUAACAAAAUAUAUAUAUAGAAUUUUAUAAUGAAAUAAAAUUGUAAUUUAAUUAUAUUAGUAAUGUGUUAUUAGAAACAAAUUGAGAAUUUAUUAAUUUUAUUUAAAUAAGGAAUAGAUUAGUUAAAUUAUAGAUAAAUAGUAAUAAUUAUUUCUCUUAUGUUAUAUUAGGAGAAGAGUAGAUUUUUCCAGAAUUAUUUUUCUCUCAAGCUUUCAAGGUCUUUGCAUAAUUUGAGGUAAGGGAAGUUAAUGCAAUAUUUAUAAAAUUAAAUUAUUUUAUAUGUUAUUUUGAAUUGUGGAAAAGAAAAUGAUAUUUUGUUACCAUGUAUGGAUCAAACUGUUUUGCACUAAAUAUUAUGUUGGAAUAUUUUGUUUUAUUUAUGACACAAAAUAUGGAGAUAUUACGUUGUGUAAAUUUGAAUACUUGAACAAAAACAUCACUCUGGUUUAUUUGGCCCUUGUCAACGGGAUAUAAUAGUUGACUAUUCGGCCCUGUCAACGGGAUAUAAUAGUUGACCUUUACAUUUCAUGGUGGGAAUGUAAUUGAUUUAGACCCUAGCCUCUAGGGGUUUGGUUAGAGGUUACUAGUACUAGUAGUGUUUGGUUCCAUCUACCAGAAACAAUUUGAGGCUAGCCACCCAUUUGAAAAGUCCCACAUAACUGGGCAUUUGAUAUUUGAUAACCAGAGUAAUUAAAAUUGAAUGGAUUUGAUUGAAUCUUAUGUGAAAGUGUUUGAAUUUGAUAUGAAAAUGGUUGGUUGAAAUUAGGAAUGGCAAUUUCGCGGGUUUUUCGGGUCACCCACCCCGUCCCGCCCCGAUUAGAACGGGUAUGGGAGCAUAGAAAUCGGGGAUGGGACGGAUUCAAGUUUUAAAAAAAAACCCGAAUCGGGUUCAGGGCGGGAUCGGGUUUAGUAACAAUAUGCCCCGCCCCGCCCUGAAUAUGAAAUUACAAGUUUACCCCCACCUAUAAAUAUUUGCUUCCUAUCCUUUCUGGUCUUCUUCUCCCGUUUUAGGUUUUUUUUCUCUCGUUUUAAGGUUCUCAUUCCUGGGGUUGUUGAUGAGAACACAAGUGAUGAUGGAGACGGAGCUGUCCCGAAUCACCUGAGACGACCUCAUCAUAUUAGAUUGCCUCGACCCCUUUCUGUACCAGUUUCCAGUGUGAAGAAAUGGCUUCCGCAAAUCCCUCCCAUCCUCGUUCUCGUCCCUGAAACUCAUCCCUAAUCUGCAAUCAGCAACUCAAGUGUUCGUCAAAAUGCUAAAAGAUGGUGUGUUUUGGACAGUUAGAGUACUCAAUGUAGAAAUCCAUCAAAUAAUCCACCCGAAACUGCCAUUUUCUCCAUGGGAAUCGUUUUAGGUAUUUUUUUUUUUGGAAUUUUGAUUUUUUGGUUUUGGGUGUUUUUUUGUCAGUUUCUAGGCAAAAGAUGAGAGAUUUGAAUGUUGAUUUGUUUGGUUUGGAGUGUUUUUUUUUGUCAAUUUCUGGGCAAAAUAUGAGAAAUUUGUUGGUGAUAUUUGGGAUUGUCCAGAUUCGUAAUCUGGUGGCAACAAGGUGGUCUUUUUGCUAAUUUAUUUUCCUCAUUUCAACAGUCUGUAACUCAUUGUUUUCACCUGUUUUUGGGCAACCCGGGUCGGAACGGCCGGGGAUGGAAUUUUGAUUAUUAUUUCAAAACAGGGAUGAGAUUACAUACCCCGCCCCGCCUCGGGUUUGGGACGGGGAUGAGAUUUGUUUUGAAUAAACGGGACGGGGUUGGGAUGAGGGCGACCCGUCCCGUUGCCAUUCCUAGUUGAAAUUUGAAUAUAUUGGUAUUUUUGAAACUUUGAUAUUUGAUGAGAAAAAAAAAUGAUAUCUUCUAUUUGAAAUGAAAAUAUUUGAUCCAUGAACUGCAUUAAUAUUCCUUAUUGGGUUGUGAGCUCAUUCCCAAUUGUUGAAAAUUUUUCAGGUACCUUUAGUUCGGGCGAGGAGUGAUGACUAAGCGGGAAAGUUGGUCAUCAUUAGGAUUUUUCUUAGGAUGUUAUUUUUGAACAUUGUUAGCUUAUAAGUUUAUGUUCAUUUGGUUUAUUUAGUUUUUGGAAGCUAUUUAGAUAUUGAGCUUUUAAAUAUAUAUUUUUUUUAUGAUAGAUUGAAGUUGAGAUUUGGAGAUUAUAAAAAUUCGUUAGUACUUGAUUUGUUGAGUUGCAAUCUAUUUGGAUAAUGGAUUUUAGUUGAUGAAUGCUUAGUUUUAAAGUUAAGUUUGGAGAUUUUAGAAUUUUGUUUUGCUACUCUGAAUAGGUUUUUGAUAAUUGGUUACUUCCAAUUACAAUAUGAUUGUUUAGGUCAGGUUAUACUUUAAGCCUUCGGGUUUGAGGUGUAAAAUGACCGUCACGCCCUUGGAGUGGGUCUUGGGGCGUGACAAGCAGACCACCUUCUGGUUGAAAUUUUCAUGUUACCCAUAACUCAUAAGCAGGAUUUAAGCAGCCCAUCAAUAAUCUUAUGGCCAUCCAAAACAGGCAGUGGCAGACCUGUGGCCCAGCCACUGGUGAGUCGAAAUCUCCUUUCCACUAACUUUCCUUUCAAUAUAUCUUCUAGGAAAAUUCUACAGCCCUGUGUGGUAGCAAUAGAAGAACAUCUUGCACAUCUCCUUUGCACUGACCUCCCUUAGGAAAAUUCUACAGCACUGUGUGGUAGCAAUUGAAGCAAGAUGAUAAUAUAUAUAUGUACAUAACCGACCCUCACUUUCCUUGAUACUUCAUUUUGUCUCUCUUCUUCCAUUCUUUCCCUUUACAUUCAUCAUCGCAGCUGUCCUGGAAGAUAUCCAACUCAUAGAGUUAAUCAAACAUAAAAAAAAAAAAUUUCUUUUUUUUUUCUUUUUUUGAUUUGUUUAUAGAUGAUUUUUUACUGUUAUUUUUAUGGUUAUUGGUUUCUUUGGUGAUGAUUUUUUAUGAUAUAUAAAUCCAUUUUAACAUUGUUGUUAGAUGGAUUAAUUUUUAAUUUUUAAUCUUAUUUAGACAAUUUAUCUUUAAAUAAUAGAAUUGGUUGUUAUAAUUCUUAUCAUUUUUAUUAAAUUCUAAUUCUAAUUCAAUAAAAUAAAUACGGUCAAAAAUUUGAAAUUGACGGGUUGCUAACUUUUAUUAUAAUUGUCUUGACUAAUUUACAUUCUCACUUGUGGUCAUUGUAGAGGUAAGACACGAAAAUGUUUGACCCAUUUGUUCAUUUAUCAUUUUUCAAAGGGAGAAUUACCAAAGAUGGUGGGCUCCAUACUACUAAUGUUUGACCCGUUUGUUCAUAUCUCAUUUUUCAAAAGGAGAAUUAUCAAAUAUGAUGGGCUCUGAUUGAUAAUGAGUCAUCAACUUGAUAAUCUUUCAUAUGCUUCAAAAUAUAAAAACUCAAAUAUACCCUUAUGUCUUUUAUUUUAAAGUCAAGCAUAUCCUUAUUUGGCCUUUUCCCUAUUUUGUAUUUUAUUUAUUUUAUUUUAUUUUUUAAUUAUUAUUUUUAAAAUAUGAAUAAUAAUCAUAAAAAUAAAUAAUAUUAGUAAGAAUGAUAUUAAUAAAUAACAUGAAUAAUUCCAAAUAUUAAUAUUAUAAAUAAUAAUAUUAACAUUAAUAAUAAUAACAAUGUGUAAAAAAGUAUAAAANNNNNNNNNNNNNNNNNNNNNNNNNNNNNNNNNNNNNNNNNNNNNNNNNNNNNNNNNNNNNNNNNNNNNNNNNNNNNNNNNNNNNNNNNNNNNNNNNNNNCAAUUUAAUAAUUGGAUGAAUACCACAUGCAUUUUUUGUAUAGAAGGAGGUCCUCUUAGGAUACAACAUUGUUUAAAAUCAUUUAUAUAACUACAAUUUUUUUACCAAUAUCUUAUUAAAAAAAUGGAAAAUAACAAAAAUCCCCCAUUAGGCCCACAUUACUUCUUUGUAUGCUGGCACAAAGUCACUUAUGGGUGGAGGAAAAACAUAAGAGAUUUAUUUUUUCAACCAAAUUUAAUAUUAAGGUGGUUUUACUUUUUUUUUUUUUUACUUAAUUUUAAUUUGAAUUUAAAACUAAAUAGUAUUUAAUAACAUUAACUAGUAAGUUAUUUUUAAAAAGAUUUUAUUUUUAUUAAAUAUUUAAGAAGUAAAAGAAAACCUAUAAAUUACUUUUAGCAUCCAGAAAAGUCAAAUAUCAUUUUUUAUAAUAAAAAAAAUUAAAAAAUAAGUAAUAUAUUAACAAAAUGUACAAAAACAAACUAUUUGAAAUCUAAAACAAAAAUAUUUUUCUAUAAAAAAAAAUUUAAAAACAAACAGCACCUAAUUUUUCAUAAUCAUCUUUACAUUCUUUUCUUUAAAAGAGAUUUGUGUUCAAAUCCAACUCUACUAUUUAUUCUUGAGUGUCCAUCGAUGCUUGAUGGUACAGUGAUUUCACAUUUUCCUUUAGGGUGUGUUUGGUACAUGGGAAUAGGGAGUGAGAAUAGACAUCUUAUUCCUUUUCUACCUUAUUCCUAUGUUUGGAUAAAUAUUAAGAAGACGAAAAUGGAAUAAAAAAUUAUUCAGGCAGAAAUCAAAUCCAACUUAUAAGUCGGAUUUGCAUUCAUCAAAAGUAGGUGGUAUUCUGAUUCAUUAAACUCAUUUGAUAAUAUAAAAUAACCUAAAUUACUAUUUUACGCUCUUAUCUCAUUCUUCAAGCCUGAUGUUUAUUUUCUUUGUAAAGGUAGAGAUUCAUUCAUCAUCUACUUCUUAUCUUCUUUGCAAAGCUAGAGACCCACUCAUCAUCCAAUUCUCUGCAACAAGUGAUUCUUCCAAAUUGAAUCAAUCAAACCUUCCACGACAUUUAGAAAAUUCAAUUUCUUAGUAAAAUAUAAUUCUAUAGCUUUUUUUGCAUGACAAAUUAUUUAAAAUUUUGAUUAAAAAAAAUGAAUAUUUAAAAAUUUUUAAGGUUAUAAAUUUUAUCGGAUAUAAUAUUUGUUGAAAAUUAGAAUAAAUUUGAAUUCUUUUAUUUUCUUUUUUGGAAAUAGGAAAAAUAUUUGCUAGUUUUGAGAAUUUAAAUAUUAUAAUAAAUGAGGUAUUUAUCAAGUUCUUGAAAAUCAAUUUAAUAAGUUUAGAAAAUCAUUUGAACGAUAGAUGCAUGUCUUUUCUGGUUGGCUUCCGGGUCAAUCUUCUACUGCAAGCCCCACUAAGGAAUAUAAACGUUUUUGCCACGAUGUAAGCUUAGUUUGUAACUAUGCCUUUUCAUUUUAAGCUAUGGGGAUGAGGGUAGACUUCAAAUUCCUCAUCCACAUCCUGAACUCCCUCAGAUUUCUUGGCAACCAAAUGGAUUUUAUUGAAAUCAUGUCCAAUAAGAAAAGAAGGUUUUACGAGUACUCAACGUAAACCUUCGAUUAUGAUAUUUCUUCUCUUAAAAAAAUGUUAGAUGAUGUCACAGCUUAAAAGGCAAAAAAAUUCUGCAGCUGCUUUCCUUCCUCACUUUCCCUCUUGCCUACAUGUUAAUUAGUACUUAUGCUUAGCUGUAGCAUGUGCAGAAGCUCGUCUUUCCUAGUACUAGUUGAAUAUUUGCAGUAGCUCUAACGGUUGUAUUUUACACUCUGGAUUGGCAAUGCAUAAAAGCAGAUUCAGUAGCAAUUAAGAUGGGAAGAUGAGAUACAAUAUUUUGAAAAAAUAAAAACUAUCUUGAUAAAUUAAUGAUUUAUUAAUUAAUACACAAUUAAUAUUCACUUAAUUAAUUGAUUUUCCUUGUUCCCAAGCUAUUAAUUUAUGGACGAUUAAUUAUAUCUUAAAAGAAAAAAAGAAAAAAGAAAUCUCAAAAUGGUCUAAGACUUAAAUGCAUCUUCCCUGGAUAAGCAUAAUUCAAUGUAGCAGGUAGCAGAACUUGACCGUCAUUUUCAUCAAAGUCUUCCCUAAUUUCUGUGGUUGAAUAGAUUAAACAACAUUAGAGUGGCAGGAAAUGAUCCUUUUCAUGCUGAUGAAUUAAUAGAAGAAAUCAGAUACCUGAUUUUCCCCAGCUGGUUCUGCUGCUUUUCUUUCCCUCAAAGUCUUGGAACCUCCCAUGCACUGUAUUUUGGAGAACCAUUUAGAAAUGUUUUCAGAUUUUCUGUCUCCAGGGGCCAUUGGAAAAAAAAAAAAAAAAAAACUCAUUCAAUGCAGAGACCAACUACCAUUCAAAGCAAGGUGUAGCAGUUUUGAAAGACCUUUUGUUAGGAUUCCCUUCUAGAUAUGUUUCCUUCUAUGACUUUUCCAAUUUGUAUCGGACCUUUCUUCAAUCUAGACCAUGCCCAGAAUGAGAAGAAUUGUGGAAAGAACACUAAAUUCAUGUACUUAAGGCCCCACUGGAAUUAGAUUUUCUACGCUGGACGGCAAAAUAAUUAUCUACUUUUUGACUUGCUAUAUGUUAUCUCUCCUAAAAUAUUCAAUGAAACUGAUUCCCAAGCCAAGCGCAGGGUCCCAUAAAUGACCAUUAUUUCACCCAUUUUGCUUUUGAAGUCUAUGUUGUAGAGAUGAGAGAGGCUCAAUGGGCUCGUUUAGCCCUACUUGAGCUUGAGCUUGAGCUUGAGCUUUCCAUCAUAAACUACAGAAAUUGUAGACUUCAAGUUAUUUCUCUUUUGCAUUUUCCUUAGUUUUCUCAGCAACCAAAGGGGUUUUACUCAAACUAUGUCCAAACAAAUGGGAAGUGUUAUAAGUCACAGGAAACGUUAUACCACAUUUUUUUUCUUCACGAAAAUUGUUUGAUCACUUUGGAUUUGGAAGGCGAAAAAUCUACAUCUGCUUAAUUAAUUCCUCCCUUUCCCUCAUGCCUAUAUGCUGAGUAGCUGAAUUGUCUUCGCUAUUGCUAGUUGAAUGAAGCACUGUAUGAUAUGAAUCUGAACCUGAAGCUAACCCUGCUUCUAUUUACUCCCUGCCCCCAUUAUAGCUAAGUUAAUACCUACACCUGGGUUCUGAUAAUUUCUUUCCCCACUGACAUAUCCAUCAAUUACAGCAUCUUGUCCUCGUACCCCAUUCCCCAUACCAAAAACUGUUUCAAAAUUAUCUUCUUUCAGACGCCGAGUGAAAACUUAAUUCACUUACUAUGCUAAUAUAUAAAAUUACAGGAAAAGAAAAAAAAGUGGAAGGUGGAUAGUUGACUCUCUAUAGAGGGAUUGGCCCUAAAUGCGCCAUUUGUUUUGAGCUCUGAAAAUUGUCCUCCACUCUUUGGAUUGAUGAGGGAACAGAUCAUAAUCAAAUUAAAUCCAAAUUCAACUGGAUAAAAUCAGACUUCAUAACAAUUUCAGAUAAAAAUAUUAGACACAGGUCUGAAUGAUUAUUGAACUGUUUUGGAAGAAAAAUUCACACAGAUCACGUGUCCAUUUCAAUACAUGAGCUAUGAAUUCGCAAAAACAACGUAAGACAAUAUGCUGAAAUUUAAGCAUAUUAUUUUUUAAGUUCUGAACCAUUAUCGUGCUUGCAUAAUUGAAAGUGUCACACCAUUUAAGGAACAAAUUUCAGGCCUGUUUUGGGAUAUAUGUGGUUCCACCCCACUUCUCAGAUUUGAAAAUGCCGGUUGUUUUGGAGAAGGUAAAUGUACACUUUCAUUGCCAAGCAUUGAGACAACAUCAGACAUGGUAGGCCUGUCAUUUGCACUUUCUUGAACACAAAGAAGGCCUAUAUUGAUGUACUUCAACAGAAUGUGUCUUGGCAAUGUCUCUUCCAACACUGGAUCCAUCAAUUCCUGUCCCCUGCUGUCUUUCCACAGAUCCCAUGCCUUUUUUUAUUGAAUACACAACAGCUAGAAGUUCAGAUAUGUAGAAGUUACAAACCAAAUAGGAAGAAAUCCAAGCUUUUGUUGGGCAUAUACUCAUAAAUCAAUAUCUUCUCAUCUUGCUCAAUGCAGCAGCCGAAUAGCUUCACAAGAUUCUUAUGUUGCAGCUUGGCUAUGAGCAUGGCCUCAUUUUUUAACUCCUCCCAUCCCUGUCCAGAUCUUUUUGAAAGCCUCUUCACAGCUACCUAGCUCAUACCCUUUUUGUGACUUUCCCUGUAAUGGGAAUUUCGGCUGAGUACAAUUACAUCAAGUAAAAGAAAAUUUGUAUUUACCUAGUGGGCCUUUACAGUUAAGGACAGAUUGUAGAACAGUCAGAAGAAUUUUCACAUUUCUUUUCUGAAAGGCAUUGCUGUUAAUGAUACGAAUCUCACCUUGUAAACAGGACCAAAACCACCCUCUCCUAGUUUAUUUUCAAUAGAGAAGUUAUUGGUAGCAGCAGAUACACUCACAAAACUGAACAUUGGCAAAUCAACUUCCUUCUUCUCACCUCUCCAAAGUUUAUUUGCCUCACUAAGUUCAUAGUUGGUAUCUACUGAGCUGUUACUUAAAUCAAAUAGUAACAAAUUUUCCCCUGCUUGAUAAAGAACAAACAGAUGUUAAGUAUCUUAAGAAUGUAGGAAUUCUGGAAUGGGAAUAAAUUGUUUCAUUAUUGAUUUUUAUCACACUGUAGUGCCUGGUACACACUCACAUGUAAUCAGGAGAUCGAAAUCCUAAUAAGGCCUUAAUUAUUCUACAACAAUGGUAAUGAACUCAUUGCAGAAAAGAAAUGGUUUUGUAUGUGUAGAUGGAAUCUAAAUGCCCUUGAAUUGCUUGGCCAUCUUCUAUCCAUGAAAAAUACUGACCUUUUCUUCGUAGCCUUCUCCGUAUCCCCCAAAUGACAAAGGCCGAAGUUACGGAAAUGGCCAGUGUAACAAUUAGCCAUACCUUCCACUUGCUGCUUGAAACUGCAAAAAGAAAUAAAUGUAACUAAUCUUUGAUGAACUUCAUCUUAUAUUUAAGAAAAAGAAAAUCAUAUGCUCUGUCCUACAAAAAAAGUUUGACCAUUCCCUACUUUUAUUACCUUUCCCACUUAGCUCAGAGGCCGCAAGUUUGAGAUAGAAAUCUUGACCAUUACUGUUGUCAUCUGAUAGCUGUUGCAAGUUUAGAAGAUCUCCACCCCAUACUGUACACUUCUCCAUGUAGUAAGAAUAAGCAGAGCAAGAGCAGUUAUUUAGGCAAUCUGACUCGCACUGCAUGACACCACUCGUUGGGAGUGUUAGUGGAUAAUCUGGCAGCCUCACAUUAGACACCCGAUGAAACUGGUCUCUCUCCCCAUUAGGAUGAGUACUAUUGCCACACUGCAAAUCUGCUUUCCUCACACACCCUCCAGAUGUGUCGUUCAAGUUCCAGUUAUUAGGGAAGCCAGGUUCAAAACCUGGCAAACAUUCACAGAAUCUAUCGACUGCAUGGUCAUGACAGAUUCCAAAAGGCCCACAGUAAGCAUAAACCUCACAUUGCGUUUUUGGUUGAAACCAAAACAUAUGCCAUUGAUGAGAGGCUUCAAGCCAUGACAUUUGUUUAAUCUGCCCUGACACAUCCAGCACGAAUCUGCUUAUUAUUGAAGAAUUAUAAAUAGAGUAAUUGAUAUAGCUCUCCUCCUUACUAAACGAAUAACUGAAAUUAAACACAUCGUUUGAGCGCAUCUCACGAAUCAAGCUGAAAGCCUGCCCAUCCCUGUCCCAGGUGCCACUAGCCCAGUACAUUGUGGACCCUUGCAAGAUAAAAAUCUGGCCGCUUCCCUUAGGGUCGUACUUCAUGGAGAAAACUCCUGGACUGGGAUCUUCUGUGCUCUUCCAUGACACUAAUGACCAUGUUUUUCCAGCCCUUC
rnacentral:lncRNA from 1 species